rnacentral:lncRNA from 1 species
GAGCUGAAGUUAUAAUUAAGAUUCUCUCAUGUUCUAUUGACCAUCGAUACAACUAUAAGCAUGCUAACAUUCACCUUCCCUAGUACGACAAAUAAAACUACUUUAUAGAUAUAAUGAGAUAGGUUUGCUAGAUAAUAAAGAACAUGGAAAUAAAAUUUAGGUGAUCAACAAUAAAGUUAAUAUGGCGAGUAUUGAAAAAUGGUGAUAGGAUUUGUGGAAUUGUCCCUAGGCAAACGGUAACUAGACCAAUAGUCGUU